UACGUAGGGUCCGAGCGUUGUUCGGAAUUACUGGGCGUAAAGCGCGCGUAGGCGGCUUUGUAAGUUAGAGGUGAAAGCCCGGGGCUCAACCCCGGAAUUGCCUUUAAGACUGCAUCGCUUGAAUCCGGGAGAGGUGAGUGGAAUUCCGAGUGUAGAGGUGAAAUUCGUAGAUAUUCGGAAGAACACCAGUGGCGAAGGCGGCUCACUGGUCCGGUACUGACGCUGAGGUGCGAAAGCGUGGGGAGCAAACAGG
rnacentral:rRNA from 1 species